rnacentral:lncRNA from 1 species
UUGGUGCAGUCUCUUUAAAUUAAUGCUUUAUCUGUUUAUUGUAAAAAAAACCUACUGUUUCAUUUAAUGGAUUGAUUACAGGUUAACAUGCUUUUCAAUACUCGUUUGGUUUGUCAACUGUCACUUUUACUGUGGAGACAUAUGUAAAUGAAGAAUGUUUAAUGUACUAAAUUAUAAUCCUAAUAUAUACAAUAAGUUUUCUAACGUUAUUUCACAGAAUCUCAUAAAAGCUGUCAGAUACAAUUAAGCAAUUU